rnacentral:misc_RNA from 1 species
GAAAUGCGAUAAGUAAUGUGAAUUGCAGAAUACAGUGAAUCAUCGAAUAUUUGAACGCACCUUGCGCUCCUUGGUAUUACUUGGAGCAUGCCUGUUUGAGUAUCAUGAAAUCUUCAAAGUAAAUCUUUUGUUAACUCAAUUGGUUUCUACUUUGGUAUUGGAGGUCUUUGCAGCUUCACACCUGCUCCUCUUUGUUCAUUAGCUGGAUCUCAGUGUUAUGCUUGGUUCCACUCGGCGUGAUAAGUUAUCUAUCGCUGAGGACACUGUAAAAGGUGGCCAAGGUAAAUGCAGAUGAACCGCUUCUAAUAGUCCAUUGACUUGGACAAUACUUUUAUGAUCUUAUCUCAAAUCAGGUAGGACUACCCGCUGAACUUAAGC